CCAUUGUCAUGCAUUGUAGCGGUGAGUGAGCCGGCUUUAGCUUUUUUGCUUUUGCGGCUUUUUCGAGGCUGAGUUGGAAAUUGAAGAAGGUUCUUUUCCUCCGCUUAUUGAUAUGCAUCCUUUGGAACAGGCGACCCAAGAGGGUGACAAUCCCGUACUUGACACGACGACCGGUGCUCUGUGAUACGUUUUCUACGAGUCGAGUUGUUUGGGAAUGCAGCUCAAAAUGGGUGGUAAAUUCCAUCUAAAGCUAAAUAUAGGCGAGAGACCGAUAGCGAACAAGUACCGUGAGGGAAAGAUGAAAAGCACUUUGAAAAGAGAGUUAAACAGUAUGUGAAAUUGUUGAAAGGGAAACGAUUGAAGUCAGUCAUGUCCAUUGGAUUCAGCUGGUUCUGCCAGUGUAUUUCCUUUGGACGGGUCAACAUCAGUUUGAGCCGGCGGAUAAUGGCAGAGGGAAUGUGGCACCCCCGGGUGUGUUAUAACCCUUCGUCGCAUACGUCGGCCCAUACUGAGGAAUGCAGCUCGCCUUUAUGGCCGGGGUUCGCCCACAUACGAGCUUAGGAUGUUGGCAUAAUGGCUUAAACGACCCGUCUUGAAACACGGACCAAAAC
rnacentral:rRNA from 1 species